rnacentral:lncRNA from 1 species
GGAAAUCGUUCUUUGUGUUUACGUCCUUGUGUGUUUCUUUUCUUAUUCUUUGGAGUCGUUGUAAACGUUUGGUUCACCUCUCAACACCUCACGGAGUACAAGCAAGCUUACAACACUUGUGAGAUUAAAGUGUGAGGAAUUCGAGAGGUAAAGAAAUAAAGAGAGAGCGUGAGGACCUUUCUUGUACAACUAAUUUAUUUGUGUUUUGUAGGUAACUUCUUAGCCGCAAUGAAUAACAACAUUUCUAAUGUUAUCUUGGCCGAGAAUAAAACUCAAUUGAGCCGAAUGAGAUUGAAGGCAAAUCUCAAGAUGGAGAGAAAGUCGAGGUUUAAAAUGAAGUUGUUAUGUUCUCAGUUUCUUCUUAUUUUGUGGGCUAUUUUGGAACCAUUUUCAUUUGGUUUGUACAGUGAAUUUAAGGUCAAAUUCCUCUCAAUAUGGAGAGGAUAAUACAGGUACAAUCAUGAAGAUGGACGUUUUUUAAUGUGUUGAAUGCAACCUACGGAGUGUAUGAGUUAGAGUGUGGAAAGGGCUCAAAAGUCGUCCCUCUAUUGCACUACAUGGGAGCCAUUUUGUUCAUUCAACACUAAGGGGAACUUUUGUCAUUUUGCCUAUUAUUGUAAUAAGUCUAUAAAUAGAACAUGUUAGGGUUUAUUUCAUUUGGUUGCUGAAUAUUGAUGUAAGAUCACUUGAGAGAA